GUGGCUUCCGGAGCUAACGCGUUAAGUAGACCGCCUGGGGAGUACGGCCGCAAGGUUAAAACUCAAAUGAAUUGACGGGGGCCCGCACAAGCGGUGGAGCAUGUGGUUUAAUUCGAUGCAACGCGAAGAACCUUACCUGGUCUUGACAUCCACAGAACUUUCCAGAGAUGGACUGGUGCCUUCGGGAACUGUGAGACAGGUGCUGCAUGGCUGUCGUCAGCUCGUGUUGUGAAAUGUUGGGUUAAGUCCCGCAACGAGCGCAACCCUUAUCCUUUGUUGCCAGCGGUUAGGUCGGGAACUCAAAGGAGACUGCCAGUGAUAAACUGGAGGAAGGUGGGGAUGACGUCAAGUCAUCAUGGCCCUUACGACCAGGGCUACACACGUGCUACAAUGGCGCAUACAAAGAGAAGCGACCUCGCGAGAGCAAGCGGACCUCAUAAAGUGCGUCGUAGUCCGGAUUGGAGUCUGCAACUCGACUCCAUGAAGUCGGAAUCGCUAGUAAUCGUGGAUCAGAAUGCCACGGUGAAUACGUUCCCGGGCCUUGUACACACCGCCCGUCACACCAUGGGAGUGGGUUGCAAAAGAAGUAGGUAGCUUAACCUUCGGGAGGGCGCUUACCACUUUGUGAUUCAUGACUGGGGUGAAGUCGUAACAAGGUAACCGUAGGGGAACCUGCGGUUGGAUCACCUCCUUA
rnacentral:rRNA from 1 species